GAUGAAGAACGCAGCAAAAUGCGAUAAGUAAUGUGAAUUGCAGAAUUCAGUGAAUCAUCGAAUCUUUGAACGCACAUUGCGCCCGCCAGUAUUCUGGCGGGCAUGCCUGUUCGAGCGUCAUUUCAACCCUCAAGCACAGCUUGGUGUUGGGACUCGCGUUAAUUCGCGUUCCCCAAAUUGAUUGGCGGUCACGUCGAGCUUCCAUAGCGUAGUAGUAAAACCCUCGUUACUGGUAAUCGUCGCGGCCACGCCGUUAAACCCCUACUUCUGAAUGUUGACCUCGGAUCAGGUAGGAAUACCCGCUGAACUUAAGCAUAUCAAUAAGCGGAGGA
rnacentral:misc_RNA from 1 species